rnacentral:ncRNA from 1 species
UAUUCUGUGGUUCGAAAUCCUCCCACAUAAAAAAACUAAGGAAGU